AAUGCUACCAAUUUCCAAGACAACUUAAAGAACCUGGAGGAGCACGCCAAGAAUGCCCAGGACCUGUUGCAGAAAGCUCAGGAUAUCAGGGAGCGCACAAAAAACGUUGAUGUAACAGAGAUCAAGCAAGACAUUUAUGAAGCAGAGAAAGCUCAGGACAAAGCCAACGAUGAUCUGGAAACGGCCAGCAAUGACAGAGACAUGACAAGAGACAGAGUCCAAGAUACUAAAGACAAACUGGAUGAAAUUGAGACAAAGCUGAUGAACCGCCAACCUGAAGAUCUGCAGGACAAGAUUGAAGCCCUGAAGAAGAAAACUGAACUGAACCAAGAAACAGCGGGAGAAGCCCAAGAGACAGCAGAGUCUGCAUUAAACAACAGUACUGACACUGAGAAGGUAAGACUACUGACAGUGAGACAAACUACUGAAAGGGAGAUUGACUACUGACAGUGAGACAGACUACGGACACUGAGAGAGGCUAUUGACACUGAAACAGACUACUGACGGAGAGACAGACUACUGAUGGAGAGACAGACUCCUGACAGUGAGACAGACUACGCACACUGAGACAGACUAUUGACACUGAAACAGACUACUGACACUGAGACAGAGUACUGGCAGUGAGACAGACUACUGACACUGAGACAGAGUUCUGACAGUGAGACAGACUACGGACAUUGAGACAGACUACUGACAGUGAGAUAGACUACUGACAGAGAGACAGAGAUCCAGAUAAGCACAACAUAACCACAACAUACGCUGUCAAUAUGAGCCACUCUGAAACAAUACAAGUACACCCUAAAAACAAAGAAAGAACAACACAGCAAGAACCAGCUCUGUGAAACUGAGGAAUCCCUUGUAUCCAACCAGUUCUGGGAGAAACGGAACAACCUAAACAAAACCCAGCAGGAUGAAUUGGCAAUCCAAGAUGGAAAUACUUGGAUUAAUCACUUUAGUGAAUUAUACAGUAAUAUUACAAAAAAUGAUGAUCAGUACAAGAUAUUCACGAAAUGGAAAACUCUGGAGGCGGUGAUAAAAAACAACCAAAACGCUCUAGAUUACCCAGUAACAGAACAAUAAUUAACAGAAGUCAUCCAGUCCCUGAAAGGAAAAAAGGCUUGUGGUA
rnacentral:lncRNA from 15 species